rnacentral:rRNA from 1 species
GACGAACGCUGGCGGCGUGCUUAACACAUGCAAGUCGAACGAAGUGGCGAACGGGUGAGUAACGCGUAAUCAACCUGCCCUUCAGAGGGGGACAACAGUUGGAAACGACUGCUAAUACCGCAUACUGAUGGAGGGGAUUGCGUCUGAUUCGGUAGUUGGAGGGGUAACGGCCCACCAAGGCGAUGAUCAGUAGGCGGUCGGGGAGGGUGAACGGCCAACUUGGGACUGAGAAAAGGCCCAGAACCCUUCGGGAGGGAACAGGUGGGAAUCAUUCGCAAUGGGGGAAAGGCUGGAGGAGGAACGCCGGGUGGGUGAUGGAGGGCUUCGGGUUGGAAAGCUCCGUUAAGCGGGACGCGGUACCGGAAGAGAAAGCAACGGCUAACUACGUGCCAGCAGCCGCGGUAAUAC